GUUUCAAAACUCAAAAUUUCAAUUUCAAAACUUUUUUUUGUACUUUUAACUCCUUUUUUUUACGAAUCUGAAAAUUUUAGUUUUAAAGGUUUUGGCGCUGUUGUGGUACAUUGGGGCGGGGCUAACCCGAAGGACCAAUUAAAAUUGACGACAGUACCAGUGCAUUCACUGACUCUGAGAAAUUGGGUGAUAAUAGUCAGAAAAUGGCUGUAUUGUCUGUACUAUCAUAGUCUGCAGUUCUCCCAAAAAAGCAGAGAUUUAUCGCAUCCAAAACGCUGUUGUAGCCCGUUCAAAGCGCCACCUUAUUGGAUUACAUACAGACAUCAAAAACAUCUAUAUGCUUCUAAAAUGUUCAGAUUUGAUAACGAAAAAAAAAAGAAAAGACAAGAGUGAAAAGAGUUGAAAAUGAAAAAAAAGUUUUGAAAAUGAAAUUUUGACUUUUGAAAACUAAAAACCAGAACAUUUGAAGUUGAAAAUAUUUAAGUUUAUUUAAGAAUAGCAAAAACAUUUGGGCAUAUUAUUUUAUUUUAUUGGCCAAGUACCAAUAAAAUAAUAAUAUUGGCACCAAUUUAGCUCCAUAUACCCACAGUUGAUUUGAAUGAAUUGCAAAACAUUAAAGCUACAAUCCAUUUCACAUAGAGCUGCUGGGGGAUUUAAAUGACUGAUUAAAUCAAAGAUUUGUGACCUUCUUGCUCUCAUUUGAAAUGGUUAUUUUCUUAAGAAAUGCAAACAGAUGUAGCUGCAUAAAUAAAAUACAGCAAAAAUAGCCACAAAGGUCAUGGGUUUUGUUUUCCGAUAAAUAUGAGCUGCAGUGAUGCCCAAACACGCCGGCUUUAGCUUUGUGUGGUAGGACCUCUGCUCUGUUUGUUUUCCAAAGUUGGAUUUAUGACUUAAAGGUGACAGAUGCAACAAUUUGCCUCUUGAUCACAUCCCUUCCAGCUGAAACGGCCUGCACUGUCUCUUCCCCCAACUGUGUUUGGACCAAACUGCUUGAUCUGAGCUCUGCAAUCUUCCAUCUGUCAUCCGCCUCCUCCAGUUUGGAAAUAAAGCAAGUUGAAAAAAAAAACAGUCACCAGUCAUUCUGCAGUCCGUUUAUUUCAUGCAUUUUCACGUAAUGAAGCGUCGCAGGAAAAGGCGGCACGAUCAUUUCCAGGAACAUGGUCAGGAAUAUGCGUUGGGAAAUUUGAAAGUUUAGUGUUUUUCUGAAAGUGCUUUUUGAAGCUAAGUGCAAUAUAAGGCAAUUUGAUGUUGUCAUAAAGCAGAGCUGAAUGACAACACAACUUCAGGAAAUAGUCCAUAACAUUGCGGGCUGAAGGGCUGUUCAGGAUGUCACAGGGAAAUCUCUUAUCACAGCGGGACACGAGAAGCAGCAGAAACAGCCUCACGUUGCCCGCCGCCAACAAAUACAGAGGAAGCCCAUAAGGAAUUAGCACAUUCUGCCAGCUGCAGUCCAGUCAGGAGAAGAGGUGCAGCCACACAAGCUUGUUGUGACAGCCACUUAUGCUCCAGGUCAUCUGAGCUUUGAUGAAUUGUGAUUGAUUUAUGCUGAUGGGCAGUUUGGAGAUUUCUCUGCACCAAGUUAGGUCACUCCGGCUCGGCUCUUCCUUCACAGCGAGCAGUUAUUAAACAUGUAACUGCAAAGUGGUGCCCCUCCUUUAUCUCUAGACAGUUUAAUUUCCAUAUUCAUAGCGGUGUUUUCAUUCGAGCUGCACAGGGAAGUGAACAGAUCCGUUAUCAGGGAUAAAUGCGGAAAAGCAGGGCAGUCUAACCUGCUUGGAACGAUAUUAAAUACAGAGAAAACGUUCAGCUGUUGUCUCAAAUUAAUGACUACAAUUCCACAAAGCAUGCUUUUUUUGGCUGUGGACGUCGCGGGGUUAAAGUGAUCCAUAUUCAUUCGGACAGUGUCUCUAAGCCCCUCAUUCUCCGGCGUCAACGGGAAUACAAAGCAGGACCGGACGGGGCAGUGGAUACUCCGCCGUCCGUGAGGAUGGAUGGUCCGAGAAGCAGGUUACAAAACACUCUCAUUAACCUCUGCUGCUCUUCAGAUAACAAAAAAAUCCUGCACUCUUCAAGUCCUUUGAAAGGAGAGGUGCCUCACGCAAGCCAAACAUUAACACAUAUUUAUAAAUUGAUGAUGGAUGUGGCAUUUUUACCAUAUGAAUAUGCAUGUGUUGACAGGGCGCUUUGCCACCGAGCAUUUCCCUUUUCCAAUCUCGUCAACGUUGUGGGGCCAGAUACAUUUUCCCCCCUCUGUAAUUUGGCUGUGGAAAACACCCAAGAGGCAGGAAGAGAAAUGAGAGUCAGAGAGAGGCAGGCUCGCAGCCUAUUCAAGACGGAGACAUUAAAAUGCUCUUUUGCUUUUUGAAGUCUGUGAUAAAAAUGUCAUUUUUGGGGGACACAGGCAAUUAUGAUAAAAAUCUUUUUGGCCGCUUGUGUGUGACUGUUUAACAGAAUAGCACUCCAUGCAUACAUGGGUGUGUGUGUGUGGGUGUUUGAGGACCUCACUGGGACCAUCUCCAGUGUAAACACUGACCUGGUUGGGAGCAGCUGUUCUCAUACAGGCCAAGCCGUGGCCUGUCAUCGUUUCUGAUGCUGGUCGGUGUUUUGAUGCGUGCUAUGUUGAGAUUAAAUCUAGGUCAUUUUGUUGUGAUUUUGUGUAUCCUUCUGGUAUCCAUGUGUGUUUAGCCAAACAAAUACGAUUUGGGCCAAAGUGUAAAUGGAGAUUAUGAUCAAACAUGGUUGAAUUUUGGUGGAUUUUUUCAGUUGUAUUAAGGUUUAUUUUUGAAUAAAUUUAAAGACUUUAGUCAUUUUAGAGCCUCACAUGAUCAGACCCCUAAUUAAAUCUAAGCUUUUUGAAUCUUACAAACCCACACAAUCUCUCAGAUCUUCAGGAAAGUUUUUAUUUGUUGUACCCGUGCAUGUUUCUAAAGCCGUAGGGGUCGAUGCAAAGCUCCGUCUCAUUUUUCAACUAGUAAUGAGUUAUCAUGUUGGCAAGAUUUUGUGAUUUUAUGUUUUAAUUAGAUGUAAUUUAGUCUUUGAUCUUGUGUUUUAUGUGGCUCUGGCUUUCAUUGUUGAUUUUUCUUCUGUAAAAAAUGCUUAAUGCAGAAAUAAACUGCUUCAUAAGAUAUCUUGUAAGAUCUUUAGGAUUUGAUGAGAACUUUAAACUUGUGAUCAAUACUCUGCAUAUUUUCUCAGAGACGCAUUAAACUUUAGUUUCAUUUCAUUAAAACACAAUCCAACUAUUUUUUUAAAUUAUUGACAAAUUCCCCUGCUAAAUUUACAAUUGAUUGAUUGGUUUAUUUCAAGCAUAGAUUUUGAAAAAUACAGAACAAAACAUAAAAAUAUUUCAAACUCAUUACAGAAAUAAUGAAAUGCAUUGAUUAAAAAAUAGAAAAAAAAACAAAAACACAUUUAUGUCACAUUUGAUUAAUUAAAUAUGGUAUUUAUUAACUAAAGUAAAGUGGAGUUUGAUUAAUGUUUGAUUCUUUGCUUGUAAAGGAAAGUACUUAGUUACUUCAUUUUACAGUUUUGCAUAGUUAUGUAAUCUGGUUCUGGUCAGAUCAAAUGCAAGUUUUUUUUUGUUUUUUGUUUUUUUCCAAUAGCAAUGUGAAUUGUUUGUUGAUUAUUGAUUAAUCUCAUAAAUAUUAUUUCAUAUCAAUUAUUUUUUCUUUUGAAAAAUAUAAUCAAAAAUAUGUGUUUUGACCAAGCAUAAACCUGGUAGGCGGUAAAGUCAGCAUUUCUUUCAUGUUCAGAAUCACCAUUUUGUGCCCUCAAAUAAACCCGCUUAAUGCCUAGUGUUUACAUUUUUUAUUUUAUCGGUGGUUUUAUGUUUAAUUCAUGACAACUCUGAGGGGAAUAGAUUUUUUUUCAAUUUUCGCUUAAUGAGGGGGCGUGGCUUUAUGAUUGAAAAAUGAGGAUCGCGGUGGAUUCUGGGAACAGAGUUCCAGUGUUUAGCUAGCUCAUUUGGCUUGUUUUAGCUGUUAGCUUUAGCAUCAACAAUAUACUUUGGUUUGUGUUCCACUGUCGUGUUCCAAAAUGCUCCAUGGGAGUCCUCUGUUAUCUUUUUUAUUGCUCCAACCACUUCCACCGUGCCCCACAAUCCAGCCCUUUCUGCAAAACUGGGUUGCUGGAGCCUAUCCAUCCACCCAUUUUACAAACCCGCUUAUUCCCUUUUGGGGUCCAAGAGUUGCUGUAGCCUAUCCUAGCUAAUGAAGAACAAGGGCAGCCUUCACCCUGGACAGUUCACCAAACCAUCGCAGGGCAAAUAUUUUGCCCUUUCCCGAAGGGGCAGAAGCGCCUGGAAGUGUAAUGAAUUGUUCCGGAACACGCGGAGAGGUCGCUGAAUGACUGCAGAAUCACUCAGCUGCCAGUCCUCAUCUGUCCGGGCUCCAGUGAACGCUAGGGUAGGCAUUUCCUGUUCGGCAGAUUUGGUGCAAAUGGAUUAGAAAGAAGAAUUUAGUUACACUUGGAGCAGACCACUCUGCCAGGAAAAACUGUGGUUUCAACACCUGGCUGUUUCAGAGGUUUGUUAUGCCAAUUGUUUUCACAUGUGUCAACAGUGUUGUGCAAAUUACUUCUUGACUGUAAUUUGUUAGACUUGUUUUACAAAAAUAAUAUAUUACCGUGCACUAUUACUAUAUAUAUGACACAACUCCAGAUUCUAUUUGGGGUCUCUUCUUUAAAGACCCACUCCAAUCAUCUUUUGAUCUAUUUUCAAAUAUUUCCUAGUGAUCUUUUAAUUAUAAUCAAAAUUUAAAAAGAAAAAUUGUCAUUUUCUUGGACAUAGCUUCUGCAGAGCGGCAGUAGUUCUUUAGAAAUUCGCCUUUGAGAUGUUGGCAGCUCCGCUCGUGAGAGCGCUCAGUUUACACACUUCCCCACUAGCUUACAGCUCCUCACAUCCCCAGUGUUCUGUCCCAGCUCUGGUUUAAGUUGUUUUAUCGUUUGACCACUAGGGGGAGCAGGAGUGCUGCUCUUUUUAGCUUUAGCUCAAGAUGAAGAUAAUCAAGAACAAGCUAUCAAACGAGCACAAAACUGCCCUUCGUUUGCAUUUUUCUUCCACAAAGCUUAGAGAAUUCAUGCCUGUGAGUCACUAAAAUGAGCUUGUUUGUUAAUAAAAUGUAUUUAGGCCAUGUGAAUGUUAGCUGCUAGUGGCUAACAUUCCUAGCAUCGUUUCUCUUUGAAAAGUGAUCACCAUCAGUUUAAUCCAUAUAAAUUAAUUUAAACUUUCAUAAAUAUUAGCUAUUUGGAGCUAAUAUUUGGCACUUUAAAGCAGAACUAAGCUGAGAAGAAGCACAAAAUUUACAUCUAUAGUUUUACCCUUAACAAAAAUUUCAGUCAACAUAAAAUAAAAAAAAAAUAAAUAAAUAAAAAAAACAGUUAGUGACUGAACAGUUGCUGAAUAUAUUUAAUGUUGCUUUGUUUAUCUUGUCUUUGAACAACUAAGUUUUGGAUGGCAAAAAAACUUGUCAUUAUAAUCUUUCUCCACGGUUAAAGAACACAUAAAUUAAACUGUAUUGAUAAAGCACUUUAAUUCAACGAGAUUUACUGAAUGAAAAUGAAAAAAAAAACUUAAAAACAAAGAAAA